AACCACGUGGUCUAGUGGCUAGGAUACCUGGCUCUCACCCAGGAGGCCCGGGUUCGAUUCCCGGCGUGGGAAGUUU
rnacentral:tRNA from 1 species